rnacentral:ncRNA from 1 species
AUAAAAGCAAUGAAGAGGAUACGCAUUAUUUUUACAGCUAGCAGAGAGGGAAGAGUAGGUGAGAGCUUCCUAGACAUGGAAAAUAGUGUACCACCUCAUGAGCUGUGUUGGGGAAAUACGAGUAACCAACGCCGUAUUGCUACGUUACAGCAGAUGGAGUCAAGCAUUACCGGUCGAUGCUUGGGAAAUUAGGUGGAACCACGGAUAACACAUUCGUCCUUAUG